ensembl:miRNA gga-mir-1761 gga-mir-1761
UUGUACUUUUAUUUCAGGGGUCACUUUUUUGUUUUCAAAAAAAAAAAAGAAUUCACGGUUACCAACUGAUGUUGAGUACAG